rnacentral:tRNA from 1 species
GGGCUCGUGGUUUAGUGGUAUAAUACUCCCUUAGCAUCUCGCAGCUUCCUUGAAGCUCGUCGAAAUCCUGACUGGGAGUGGUCCGGGGUUCGAUUCCCCGCGAGUCCA